rnacentral:rRNA from 1 species
GACGAACCGUCCAAACGUUGUUCGGAAUCACUGGGCUUAAAGGGCGCGUAGGCGGGCUCCCAAGUCGGUGGUGAAAUCUUUCGGCCCAACCGGAAAACAGCCGCCGAUACUGGGAGCCUCGAGGGAGGUAGGGGUCGAGGGAACUUCCGGUGGAGCGGUGAAAUGCGUAGAUAUCGGAAGGAACGCCGGUGGCGAAAGCGCUCGACUGGACCUCUUCUGACGCUGAGGCGCGAAAGCCAGGGGAGCAAACGGG